GACAGAGGAUGCAAGCGUUAUCCGGAAUGAUUGGCGUAAAGCGUCUGUAGGUGGCUUUUUAAGUCCGCCGUCAAAUCCCAGGGCUCAACCCUGGACAGGCGGUGGAAACUACCAAGCUGGAGUACGGUAGGGGCAGGAGGGAACUUCCGGUGGAGCGGUGAAAUGCGUUGAGAUCGGAAGGAACGCCCGUGGCGAAAGCG
rnacentral:rRNA from 1 species